rnacentral:rRNA from 1 species
UACGUAGGGGGCCAGCGUUGCUCGGAAUUACUGGGCGUAAAGGGUUCGUAGGUGGUGCGGUAAGUUGGGAGUGAAAUCUCUGGGCUUAACUCAGGGGCUGCUUUCAAAACUGCCGUGCUCGAGUGCGAGAGAGGUCAGUGGAAUUGCAGGUGUAGCGGUGAAAUGCGUAGAUAUCUGCAGGAACACCGGUGGCGAAGGCGGCAUCCUGGACCGACACUGACGCUGAGGAGCGAAAGCCAGGGGAGCAAACGGG